rnacentral:rRNA from 1 species
AUCGCGAACUACGCCAUGGCCUACGGCUGUCUAGAGGAUAGUGAGUUUGUGUAGUGUGCUAGAUUUCGAGGAGUUAUUUAUGGAGAGUGGCAGCACUUAAAGGCCGGCGGCGGGGGAGUAGGAGGGAGGGCGGACGUCGGGACGAGGCUGGCGAAGGAACCAGAGCGGACCCAAAUCGCGCCCUGGAAGGUGCGCGCAGAGAGGGUGAGAGCCCCGUUGUUCCCGGCGGACCGGACGUCAAGCACGCACCGAGGCGCUGUCGUGCGAGCUCGGGUUGUUUGGGAAUGCAGACCGUGGCUAUCUGGGGCGGUAAAUUCUGGCGUCCAAGGUAAAUAACUCGAGUGAGACCACGCAAUAGGCAGAACAAAUACAGUUGCAGGGAAGAACUGAAAGGACUCUUGAAAAAAAGAGAGUCCAAAGAGGUGCUGAAUGUGUUCCGGGAGGGAAGCGGAUGGGCGGCCGGCGAUGCGCCCCGGUCGGCAUGUGGAACGGCGACGCUGGUCCGCCAUCGACUCGGGGCGUCGACCUCGACGCGGAUUGCGACGGUGGCCCAGCCGCGGGCCGUCGAUAGGCCCGCGGAUACGUCAUUCGUUGCGAUUGUGGUAGCGCAGCGCGCCGCCUGGCUGGUGCUUCGGCACCUGCGCGCUCCGGGCGUCGCCUGUGGGCUGUGCAUACGCUUAUUACGCCAGCUCCUGUUCUAGGUAGAAACGAUACUUGGCUUCACGAACAGGAGUCUCUGACUUUGCGAGUCCACUCGGGAUGAACCCGCGGGGGACGCAAGGAAGCCUAUUGCAGGCGAUCCCCCCGGAGGUUGCACGUCCGCCGACUACAUCCUUCUGUGAAGGAUUCCAGAGUAGAGCAUGCCUUCGGACCGAAAAGAUGGUGAAACUAUGACAGCGCGACGUGAGGGUCGGGUGCCGAGAGAAUCCGUGAGAGGCCGCAGCGUCUACGUGAAGAUUCGUUCAUGCGCUGACUUGGGUAUCAGGGGGAAAGAAAUCAACCGAUAUUGAUAGCUGGUUCCUAGAAGUUUCCUCAGGAUAGCUGGAGCCGCGGGCUGUUCUAUCGGGUAAAGCCACAAUGAUUAGAGGCAUCGGGGGCGCAACGCCCUCGACCUAUUCUAAACUUUAAAUAGGGUAGACGGGCGGCUGCUCUGUUGAGCCGUCACGGAGUCGGGACUACAAUGGGCCUUUUUGGUAAGCAGAACUGGCGAUGCGGGAUGAACGGAAGUCGGGUUACGGUGCCAACUACGCGCUAACCUAGACCCCACAAAGGUGUUGGUCGAUUAAGAGCAGGACGGUGGUCAUGAAGUCGAAAUCCGCUAAGAGUGUGUAACAACUCACCUGCCGAAUCAACUAGCCCCGAAAAUGUGGCGCUGAAGCGCGUGACUAUACCCGCCGUCGGGAAGCAGGAUGCGCGAUGAGUAGAGGGCGCGGCGGUUUGCAAAACCUGGGGCGCGGCCGGGCGAGCGGCCGUCGGUGCAGAUCUUGGUGUAGUCAAAUAUUCUGAUGAACUUUGAAGGCCGAAGAGGGAAAGUUCGCAUGUGAACGGCACUGUCACAUGGGUUAGUCGAUCAACAGGAGAGGGGAAGAGUCUGAUAGCGCGCGCUGGCGCGUACCGAAAGGGAAUCGGUUAAAAUUCUGAACGACGUGGCACGGCACGAUUAGUAUUGACGGAGACGUCGGCGGGGCCUCGGAAGAGUUAUCUUUUCUUUUAACAGCCUGCCCACCUGGAAACGGCUCAGCCGGAGUAGGGUCCAGCGGCUGGAAAAGCACCGCACGUCGCGUGUGUCCGGUGCGCCCCCGGGGCCCUUGAAAAUCCGGAGGACCGAGUGCCUAUCACGCCGGUCGUACUCAUAACCCAUCAGUCUCCAAGGUGAAGCCUCUGGUCGAUGGAAGUAGGCAAGGGAAGUCGGAAAAUGGAUCCGUACCUCGGGAAAAGGAUUGGCUUGGGCUGGGCGGGGGUCCAGCCCCGCCCCGUCGCGCUGUCGGUGGACUUGUCGAGAUGCUCUCGUGGCGAGAGCGGAGGUCGCGGUGCGUCGGGAGGGACGAAUUGGGAUAGGCCCUCGGGGCCUCUUCCCGGCGUCGAACAGUCGAUCCAGAACUGGUACACAGAGGAGAAUCCGAUCUGUUAAUUAAAACAGCUUGCGAUGUACCCUGCGGAUCUUGACGCAAUGUGAUUUCUGCCCAGUCUGAAUGUCAAGUGAAGAAAUUCAACCAACGCGGGUAAACGGGGGAGUAACUAUUACUCUUAAGGUAGCCAAAUGCCUCGUCUCUAAUUAGUGACGCGCAUGAAUGGGAUUACGAAUCCCACUGUCCUGUCUACUAUCCAGCGAAACCACAGCCAAGGGAACGGGUUUGGGAAUCAGCGGGGAAAGAAGACCCUGUGUAGCUUGACUCUAGUCCGACUUUGUGAAAUGACUUGAGAGGUGUAGGAUAAGUGGAGGACGGACGCGAAAGUGAAAUACAUACUUUAACUUAUUUACUAUUACGUAUCGAAGAGAGGCGGGCAUUGCCCCUCUUUUUGGACCAAGGCUGGCUGGUCGAUCGCGGCGGAAGACUUGUCAGGUGGGGAGUUUGGCUGGCGGCACCAUCUUUAAGAUAACGCAGGUGUCAAAAUACUCAAAAAACAGAAAUUCGUGUGAACAGAAGGUAAAAGCUCGUGAUUCUGAUGUUUCCAGUACGAAACGAACCGUGAAAGGUGCUAGACGAAUCUUUAGACGACUGGCAUUGAAGCUAGAGGUGUAAGUAUACCACAGGGAUAUGGCUUGUGGCAGCCAAGCGUUCAUAGCGACGUUGCUUUUGAAUCAUUUGACGAAUGAUCGGUUUCCUAUCAGUGAAGCAGAAUGACAAGUGUAUGACAUUGUUUCCAACACGAUAGGGAAGAGUGGGUUUAGACGUCGUAGGAGAGCAAGGUUAUUAUUACCUCUAGUAGGGAAUAAGUCGUCGCAAUGUAAAUUAACUUACUAGUACGGAAGGAACCGUGAAUCGGCAACAAUUGGUCCAUCGGCUUGGUUGAAAGCAGUGGCGCGGUCCUCCCGUCGUUGGAUGUAGUCGCUGAACGCUUAUAAGUUCGAAGAACGGGCUCAGAAGCCGACGCGUGAGCACAGAUUGG